CAUGGAAGGAGGCAUAGAAGGUGUGGCUGCUGUAUCACAUGUGUGUCAGUAGAUGGCAGAGAGGAGACAGGCUCUGUUUAUGCUCAGUAUUCUGACCUGUGAACAUCUAAGUGAUAAGUAGCCUAAUAGU